CACUGUUUUAUAUAUGUAUAUAUAUUUAUAUAUAUAUUUUAAUUGGGGUAGUUCCCAAAAUAUUGGGACAUAUAAAAAAAGAUAACUCUGUUCCGCAGAGUAGCUGUUGACAUUAUAGUUGCGCAGGCACUUUGUUGACUCUAGAGAACCUCGGACCAAUCGCACAUCCCCGUGCCAGUUUCUGCGCCUACCAUGGUGACCACGGGUAACAGGGAAUCAGGGUUCCAUUCCGUACAGGGACCCUGAGAAACGGCUGCCACAUCUAAGGAAGACAGCAGGCACACAAAUGACUCACUCCCGACUCGGGAAGGUAGUGACG